AGGAGCGGCGCUCCGGGGCCGAGCUUGGGGCGGGGGACAGGCGGCGAGCAGGGUGCCGGGGCUGGGUCGGUGCCCGCCUGUGGGAGGACGCCGGGUGUGGGGUCCCCCCGCGGUGCGGGAGCCGCGGGGCGCUCCCUGCGCUGUGCGGGGUCGCACGGGAGCCCCGCGCCCUCCCGGUGCUCCCCCGUGCCGGGUCCGAGCCCGGCGCUGUGACCCCCGUGACCCGCCAACAGAAGCAGGGUUUUUUGGUUUUUUUCCCUGUGGGCCUUAGGGAGCGCUGCUCCCCGCCCCGGCCCCAGCUUUGCAUAACUUGUCUCCCAGUUGGCUGUCCCUUCCUCGCUGCACUUUGCCCUUGCCCGGUGGUCUGUGGCGUGAGGGAGUAGAACUAUUCAAGGACUGCGUUUUAUUUCUCUAGGGAAAGAGCUGGGUCACAAACGAGGCAAGCUGUCUAAUAAUAUUUAUAUGUAUAUUCCUUUUUUCCUCCGCAGCAGCCCAGUGUGCAAGCAGGAUUCUGUGACAGUACAGAACAAGGCCCUUGGGUGUGAUUUUUUUUUUUUCUUAGCAAACCCUGGAGCAGAGCUGCUGUUAGCAUGUAGAGUUUGAAUGCCACAGGCGGUCUGUUGUUUCUUCCUGCUGAAAGAAUAAUUUAGAGGAGCAGCAAUGGCUCAUUAAUAGAAAGUAUUAGUUGCAGGAAAGCAAAAGCAGGUGAAGUUUCUUACUUUACCACUGACUUACUCUGUGACCUUGGUUCCAUCUUUCUGCACUAGUCAGUCCUCUCAUUGCUUAUGAAUUGGGAAUAGCCGUGCUUUCCAAAAACGUUCUGUGCAUAAACAUACUAAUGACUGUGAAAUGCUUAUCUGCUGUAGUAAUAAAGGGUAGAUAGUGAUGCUAUUUCUAUCACAGAACCAGAAAGGUUCUAGGCAGGAUGUGGACUGUAGUAGCCACACUUGGAUGCUUAAAAGACAUUUAAUAACCUGUGAUAUUGCAUGAUUUGCACUGUGGUCAUCUUAUGUUUCAUAUUUUGAUGUAGUGUGUGCUUUUGAAGAGCUGCUAUUUCACACUGUAAGUACUUUAAGGAUGGCUUUUUUUUCCACUUCUGUUUGGAACAAAGCUGUGUGGUGUCCUCUUCCACUGCUAAGGAAACCCUGUGAAUUUCUAAUGUAGUAGAUUAUCCCUGAUAGUUGACAUCUCUGAACUACAUGGUGUUUUUGAAAGGAAAUACUAAAGGGAGUGACAGUAAGUUCAUCGUACCUGUAAUAAAAGGCAAUGUUAGUUUAAGGAACAGUAUUUUUCUCCUCACCUUAUAGGAUGCUCUCUGUGGAAAAUCGGAAUGCUUCCUGUAUUUCAUAGGUAAAAACCUAAAUACAGGAGUCCUGAAGCUGAAGGACUUGACUGUCAUGGUUCACACUGCCUGAAGUGCAGCCGCUGCAAUAGCAAAUGGAAGCAGCCAAGCACAGAGCUGGGAGUUGCUGCUGCAAAUCCUGACCUUAGUGAAAUAAGUUUUCUCUCUUUACAGUUUUGCUUAAUACUGACUUGUGCAACUAGAUUACUCAUCUUUUUUUUCUAUUUUUUUAAAUAUAUAUUGUAUAAGGAUACACCAGGAAGAAGCAAUGUUUACCUCAUACAUUGGGGAUUUUUUGAAAGUAAUUCAAUAUAUAGUGUCUCACUUAGCUACUCAAUUUAAUAUGAAACUUCCAUAAUCAGAUUAACGUUAAAUAGGAAAGCUUUUGUGUUGAAGAGGAGGUAAGCACAACCUGGUUUGGUUUGGUUUGGGUUUUGUGUUUUUUCUUUUAAAGAACUUGAAAGCUGCUCUGGUAGAAUAGCAAUUCAUUGUUAAUUCUUAAUAUGUAGGUGCCCUGAAAAAAUCAAAUACCUGGUUUCAUAGCUACCCUUAGGCAUCUUUAAUUUAUGCAAGCAGGGCUCUCUGAGUAGCUACUGUAAGUCUCAUUGACCUUAGUAGGUUUGCAGAGGUCAUGUUUUAAAAUGGGUAAGUUGUGCUUGAACUAUUUUCUCAGUAAGUUUUAGGAGCAAGUGUUGUUUACACAAUUACAUGCUUUUUCCAGUUCUCCAUUACAUUUUCUGUUUUUCUUUAGAUUCUUGCUCAUCCUAAAGAAAACUCUCAUUAGGAAGAAGCACAGGUUUUUGAAAACAAGUUCCUUUUCGAGAUCUGGCUAUAGCAGAGCAGACAGUGAGGUUUUACAAACAGCCAGAAAGGCCGGUGUUGGGUUCAGAGAAACUUGGCCAGCACAAGCCGAAUGUACACGAGUGACAUCAGCAUUUUCUGAGCCAUUUAUGCUGUUCACUUGUGCUGGUUCCCAGCAGUGCCUUGUGUCUUAUGAGGGGAGAGCUGCUGCUUGUCUCAAAUGUCUCCAUGCAAGUUUCCUAUGAGCCAGGAGCAUAACCGUGUCCUAGGAGACAUCUGAGGAAUAACUUGGAGUGAGACACAGCUUGUCCCCUGCUCCUUUUGGUAAUAGAGCUGUAACCACUGUGAAGUCAUCUGACAGAGGUUUUACUGGACUGAAGCCUUGAUCUGUAUCAUAUGUAGAUGGGCCACUAAUGCAGUUUUGAUGGCUGGUGAUAAAACAGCCAUAAAACCCAAAGGACUUCAGUGUCAACAGAAGCCUCGAUAAUAUUAAGACUGGAAAAUAAAGGCUUUUAUUACACUGUCACUGCACACUUCUUGUUACAAGGUCUUUGGGAAGAAUUGUGUCUUCAGAUGCUGAUCCUUCAAACUUGUCCUUGCAGUUAGCAUUUAAUCGUGUGUAAUGAAAGUAUUGCCACUUGAUGGGUGAAAUUGAAACAAACCCUCCAUUAUAAGCACUAUACCCAGACAUUUCUUCUGUUUUUCUUGCUUGCUAAAUCUAGCUGAAACUUGCUGGCAUAAAAUUCUGCAGUAAAGCAACGUGCAUAAUCUAUUUCUAAGUAAACAGAGCACCUUCUUUGAACAGUGUCUAAUGUUUCAUACUUCAGUUUCUUUUGUUAGUGCUGUAGCAGUGUGAGGGAGCCAAAUUCCUGGUUACCUGUCUUGGUGAAUGUGCUUGUCCUUGUCUGACUCCAUGGCUUGUUUGGAACAGCUGCAAAGUUUCCUUAUGAGCACUGAUCUGGCACAGCCGUGUACAAGACUCUUGAGAUUUAUAGCUCUGUAGGGGAACCACCUACAGAGGGAAGAAGGGUUGACCUGGAGAAGUGCACUUGGGAAGGAAUGCUGAUGUUCUCUGUGGAAGUAACAGAAAUCUUUUCCUGUGACUUUCCAGAGUGACUUGCCCCAUACUGCACAAACAGUUUCUCGUUGUAGGGGAGAAACAAGAGGAAUGCAAGACUUGACAAGGGGACUGGUUAUCUAAAAAGGAACAGGUGCAGUCCUCAGACACUGGAAAGCUGAACAGAUUCCUUUAAGUAAGCUGUUCUUGCAGGUUUAAGGACAUUUAUUGGCAAAACAUCUAAGAGAAAUUUGAAAUUAUAUUUUGAGAAGGAAAUUGAGUUACCAGUAUUACUUUAAUUGACCAAAGAUAGGGAUGCAUGGACUUUUCCUAGUGUUUUUUUUUUAAUUUAUGUAGGAUAUGCAAAUAUGUUUUAAAACCAUAUAUAGGAGAAUAGAUGGCAAUGAGGAUGUAUUUUAGAGAUUUAUAGCAUCUGUAAGAACAAAUAUUGUUAAAAAAAAAAAAAACGAAAAAACAACAAAAAAGACCAAACUCCCCCAAAACACCCCAAGCUUCAAAAGUACUUUCACAUGGCACAUUCAGGAUUCUGUUAAUUAUAUUAUGUUGUGUGACAGAUACUUAUGUAAAUAUGAAAGUCCACAUAAAUGUUGUCAUGAAUCAGUAGCUUUUUUAGUAGAUGUGGGCAAAUAAAAUGUGGUCUGGAUGCUUAAAUCUGCUAAAAUAUUUACAAGAAGCCUGGCUCUUGGAAAAAAAUUUCCCACCGGAUGCAGUGGGUGUCAGGUCUAAAGGUCAGCAACAGAGAGAGUAAAGAGAAGGAUCUUUUGCAUUUUUCUCCACGUUUUUCAAACAAGCCUUGUGUAAAGAAGUAGAAAAUCUUUCUUUCUUUGUUUCUUCCUAAAUUUCUGAGCGCUAACAGGCAUUUGCAGGUUUGUUCAUACUUCAGCUAUUUGUUGUGAACUUUUUUCUUUAAGAGAGGAGAAAAAAAUCCCAAAACCCUCAGUGUAGUUAAUACAUUCAUGAACUCUUAGCACGGAAGUUCCUGGUGUAAAUCAUAAAAGCCAGAUGGAGUUUUAAGUGACUGUCAUGUACAACUUAGGGAAUGAACAUUCCUGAUACUAACAAAAGGGCCAGAUUGGAGCUACACAAUUAAUCCCAGUGUCCUUUUCAGUGCAUGAUAAGAUUUGGCUACAAUAGCCAUGGAGUUAAUAGAGACAACUGUCAAGUUCUGCGAAGCAGUGUAUUAUCUACCUAAAAUAAAAAUACCUGUGUGCUUACUCUGAUAUAUAUCUUCUGGUGAUUAGGGCUCAAAUUGCAGUUUAAAUGGGGAAAAAAAUGAGAGUGAGCAGUGACUGCCUUUGUCUUGAAUCUACCUCCUGUCUUAAAUAUGUAUGUAAAUAUAUUUAUACAUAUAUUUAAUAUGUAUAAUUAAUCUGCAUUCAUAAUAUAUCUAUAUAAAUACUUUUAAAGCAAAAGAUAAGUAUAUAGGGUUUUUUUGAAUGUCACAUGGCAAAACCUUUCUAAAUUUGAGUUGAUUUGAAAUGUAAUGCCUGUGGAGCUCCAGGAAACAAUUUUACAAUGCAGUUUAUUCCCUCUGUGUUAGCAGUGUCCUGAAGGAAAUGUGCAGAGAAGUGCUAAAAAAAAAAAAAAGGCUUAUGAGAUGGCACAAAGUGUGUGUCAGAUACAGACAGGAGGAGGAGUGGGCAGAUGGCAGUCAGUACAGAACACGUGAAUAAUCAGAUUGAGAACAAGCUGAAUACAUCGUCAGUAUGCUGGUUGCAUGCUGCUGCAUUUUGGGUUUGGUGAACGUGCUGGGGAUUUUUUUGUUGUGAUCAGUGUUCAUACUCCAGAGAGGUAAAAAUCUUGAAGCUAUAAGUGUAUAUGAGGGUGAAGGCAUGCCCACCAGAGUCACAGGAACUUCUGGGACGAGGGAGAAGUUAGUGCUUUCAGAACUAUCAGGGACUGGAAAACAUUAAAAAAAUCUGUUCAGUUUGUUAUAGACUUCAUCUGCAAGUUUAUUCAGCUCUACCUUUGGCAUGCAUGACAUGGAAUUAUAUUAAAAUGAUUCAAAAUCUUAGUGCCUGAACCUGUGGUAUGGUAGAUUGGUUUAUUUUUCUGAAAAGGUCUGGAAGGCAGUAAGACUUAUUUGUGAUAAAUUGUUUACAUAACUUACUUUAUCUAAUUUAUUGGAAAUCUCUGGGUGGCUGUCUGGCCUUAGUGUUCAUUGUCUGGCUCAGAGGUCUUUUCCAGAUCGUUGGUUGGAUGCCCUGUUGGAGCAUGGAAUGGAAAGAAGAGCAGGAGGGGAUGGCUGCCCUGGUGAAUGAUUGAUCCUGUAACCUCUAGUGCAAUGCUAAGGAUUGUAGAAAAUAAAUAAAUCCAGAAAUGGAACAACAAAAGCCCUCCUUCCCUUCUGAGACUUACUUGAAAAAGGUUAUAAUAUCAAUUUAUAAUAAUAAUAAGGUAUACAUAUGAAAGAGAGUGUGUUGAGAUCCAGUUGAUCAGUAGUAACUUGGUUCUGUUUGUAUUUGUUUCAAAAUGUUCCUGCUUUUUUCUUUCUCAGAAAGUUCCAUAGGCUAGAAGAGUAGUGAACUGGUCUAACUGGAGAAUGCCCUACUUCCCAGAAAAGGCAUUGUCUGAGCGGGCAGAAUGGAAGGAUCACAACACACCCUUCAGUUUAAAAUUUAUUUAGUAUAGAUAAUUUCACAUGCCUGCAGUUAUCCUUUAGUAGUACCAGUUUGCUCCUUGUACACUGUAUUAGCAUGCCUCAGUCUGAACAACAGCAGUAAAGAGUCUUAACAGCACAAGAAGGUAGAGCAAAUGUAGUCUGUAUUUCUGCAGAAGUGAAGG